GUGAAAUGAUGACGAAGUUUAUCCAUUCUCUGAGAUCACUGUACAUUAACCUUCUUGUAGCACUGUGUUCCUGUUUUAGGAACUCCGGGCUACACAGGCUCCAAAUGCCAGCAGUCUUGCAGUGUUCUACUGUAGACCGUUGGUGUGGGUGGUAGCAUUUAGGAAGGAAUGGAUAGUGUCAGCAGAGGUGGAACCUCAUCCAGUGGAGGUCUUCUCUUGCCAAGAUGAAUAAUGGGAGUCUGAUCAC